GGACAGAGCCGCGACUGGCGAGGGUGGGGCACCACCGGGGAGCGGCCACCAGCUUCUGGCGUCGCCCGCCUGGGCGCUAGGG
rnacentral:ncRNA from 2 species